rnacentral:rRNA from 1 species
UACGUAGGGUGCGAGCGUUAAUCGGAAUUACUGGGCGUAAAGCGUGCGCAGGUGGUUUGUUAAGUCAGAUGUGAAAGCCCCGAGCUUAACUUGGGAACUGCGUUCGAAACUGGCAAGCUAGAGUCUGUCAGAGGGGGGUAGAAUUCCACGUGUAGCAGUGAAAUGCGUAGAGAUGUGGAGGAAUACCAAUGGCGAAGGCAGCCCCCUGGGAUAAGACCGACGCUCAUGCACGAAAGCGUGGGGAGCAAACAGGAUUAGAUACCCUGGUGGUCCACGCCCUAAACGAUGUCAACUGGUUGUUGGGCAACUUGAUUGUUCAGUAACGAAGCUAACGCGAGAAGUUGACCGCCUGGGGAGUACGGUCGCAAGAUUAAAACUCAAAGGAAUUGACGGGGACCCGCACAAGCGGUGGAUGAUGUGGAUUAAUUCGAUGCAACGCGAAAAACCUUACCUACCCUUGACAUGUACGGAAGUCUGCUGAGAGGUGGAUGUGCCUGAAAGGGAACCGUAACACAGGUGCUGCAUGGCUGUCGUCAGCUCGUGUCGUGAGAUGUUGGGUUAAGUCCCGCAACGAGCGCAACCCUUGCUAUUAAUUGCCAUCAUUAAGUUGGGCACUUUAAUAGGACUGCUGGUGAUAAACCGGAGGAAGGUGGGGAUGACGUCAAGUCCUCAUGGCCCUUAUGGGUAGGGCUUCACACGUCAUACAAUGGCCGGUACAGAGGGAUGCCAACCCGCGAGGGGGAGCCAAUCUCAGAAGGCCGGUCGUAGUCCGUAUUGUUCUCUGCAACUCGAGAGCAUGAAGUCGGAAUCGCUAGUAAUCGCGGAUCAGCAUGUCGCGGUGAAUACGUUCCCGGGUCU